GAGAUGCCCAAGUCGUCAAUUUGGUUGUGAACUCUUAAUUUAAACGAUAUCACAGCCACUUUGAUGAGCUUGGUUGUCUU